rnacentral:lncRNA from 1 species
UCUAAUUGAUUCCUAAAAUCUUGCUUUCUGUAUCUUCUUCAUGUGGCUUCCGAACCAUUGUUUUGGCUUGCCAUCACGACCCAAGCUUGGUGGCGGAGGGAUUUCCUUCAAGUCCAAAAUCACCACCCUUCUCUUGGCUUUCUCAAUUUGCUGAUUUUUUUCCUUGAAUCUUCUUGUCGAGACCUCAAAUUUGUAUUCAUAUGAAUCCAUGCCACCUUUUCCAUUGGUUUCCUCAACCUUCCUUUUCUUGUCUGCCUUGAACGUUGUUUCGGAUCUGCAUAUUUUGUAAACCUCGGCCUUCCUUUUGUUGUUUGGCACGUUAACGUUGUGAAAUCCAACCGGUU